UACGUAGGGGGCGAGCGUUGUCCGAAGUUACUGGGCGUAAAGCGCGCGUAGGCGGUCAUUUAAGUUCGGGGUGAAAGGUUCAGCGCUCAACGCGAACAGUGCCUUGAAUACUGGGUGACUUGAGUUCGGGAGAGGGCAGUGGAAUUCCUGGUGUAGCGGUGAAAUGCGUAGAUAUCAGGAGGAACACCGAUGGCGAAGGCAGCUGCCUGGCCUAGAACUGACGUGAGGUGCGAAGACGUGGGGAGCGAACAGG
rnacentral:rRNA from 1 species